GACGAACGCUGGCGGCGUGCUUAACACAUGCAAGUCGAACGGACAGGCCCUGCUUUUGUGGGGUGCUCGAGUGGCGAACGGGUGAGUAACACGUGAGUAACCUGCACUUGACUUUGGGAUAACUUCAGGAAACUGGGGCUAAUACCGGAUAGGAGCUCCUGCUGCAUGGUGGGGGUUGGAAAGUUUCGGCGGUUGGGGAUGGACUCGCGGCUUAUCAGCUUGUUGGUGGAGUAGUGGCUUACCAAGCCUUUGACGGGUAGCCGGCCUGAGAGGGUGAACGGCCACAUGGGGACUGAGAGACGGACCAGACGCCUACGGGAGGCAGUAGGGGGGAAUAUGGCACAAUGGGCGGAAGCCUGAGGCAGCAACGCCGCGUUCGGGAUGACGGCCUUCGGGUUGUAAACCGCUGUCGCCGGUGACGAAGCGGGAGUGACGGUAAUGGGUAAAGAAGCACCGGCUAACUACGUG
rnacentral:rRNA from 1 species